UUCUUWSUKUAUUANCGUAAGUAUUUCCUGCUCAAUGAAUAUUUAAAUAGCCGCGGAAAYUUAACUGUGCUAAGGUAGCAUAAUCACUAGUUCUUUAAUUAAGAACUUGUAUGAAAGGAAAAACAUUUCAAUUACUCUCUUAUUUAAUUUAAUCUAAUUUAAAUUAAGAAUUAAAAUGUUCUUAUGCUUAAAAAAGACGAUAAGACCCUAUUGAACUUUACUAUUUGUUUAACUGGGGCAGUUAAAAAAUAAUAAUCUUUUUUAAAAAUUUUAUAUAGAAGAUCCAGUAAAACUGACUUUCGAACAAGUUACCAUAGGGAUAACAGCGUAAUGUCUUUUUAAAGCUCUUAUUUAAAAAGAAGAUUGCGACCUCGAUGUUGAAUUAAUGUCCCUUUAUUAGUGCAAUAACUUUAAAAGUAAGUCUGUUCGACUWWYAAAACAUUACA
rnacentral:rRNA from 1 species